GCCCACUCGUCGCUUCAUCCGUCUACUGCUCGAGCGCGUGCUCCCAGACGAAGCGGCGUCGAAGACCCCCGUUGUAGGACGCGCUGCGGGAGACGGCGGCGACCAUGAUCCGCUGCGCGCACGGGGGAGGGAGGGGGUUUGUUUUGGCGUCCAGGGCCUCCCGGCGGAGCUCUCCCGCCGGCGCCGCAUCUGCUCGCCACGCCGCCCGCUUGACGCGUAGUCCUCCCGUUCACGCCUCUGGUGAGCUUCGCCUCACCCCGGACCAUACCCUGCGCCUGCUCGCCGGCCCCCGCUGGCUUCCCUAGCCCAUUUCCCCGCUCGGCCGACCUCGCCGUGCCGGCCGCGCGCGUGCUUGCGCAUUCUGGCCGCGCCUCGCCGCGAGUAAGGCCCGUGGCCUGCCUUUGACUCGGGCCUGGAUCCCUGAUCCCCCCUAGGCCCACCUUGAAUAUAUAUUAUACUAUAUAUAUAAAUAAAUAAGUACAUAUAUAUAAUAUAUGCUUAUGUGAAGAAUCAUACAAAUUAUUUAAAUGUAUUGUGCAUUCCAUCAUGUAUACAACAAAAUAGCUACAAAGAUCAAUUAUACAUUAGAUCACUAUGAGUUUGUGAGUCAA